rnacentral:rRNA from 1 species
UACGAAGGGGGGCUAGCGUUGCUCGGAAUCACUGGGCGUAAAGCGCACGUAGGCGGAUCGCUAAGUCAGGGGUGAAAUCCUGGAGCUCAACUCCAGAACUGCCUUUGAUACUGGCAAUCUCGAGUCCGGGAGAGGUGAGUGGAACUGCGAGUGUAGAGGUGAAAUUCGUAGAUAUUCGCAAGAACACCAGUGGCGAAGGGCGGCUCACUGGCCCGGUACUGACGCUGAGGUGCGAAAGCGUGGGGAGCAAACAGG